rnacentral:rRNA from 1 species
AAUACGAAGGGACCUAGCGUAGUUCGGAAUUACUGGGCUUAAAGAGUUCGUAGGUGGUUGAAAAAGUUAGUGGUGAAAUCCCAGAGCUUAACUCUGGAACUGCCAUUAAAACUUUUCAGCUAGAGUAUGAUAGAGGAAAGCAGAAUUUCUAGUGUAGAGGUGAAAUUCGUAGAUAUUAGAAAGAAUACCAAUUGCGAAGGCAGCUUUCUGGAUCAUUACUGACGCUGAGGAACGAAAGCAUGGGUAGCGAAGAGGAUUAGAUACCCUCGUAGUCCAUGCCGUAAACGAUGUGUGUUAGACGUUGGAAAUUUAUUUUCAGUGUCGCAGCGAAAGCGAUAAACACACCGCCUGGGGAGUACGACCGCAAGGUUAAAACUCAAAUGAAUUGACGGGGACCCGCACAAGUAGUGGAGCAUGUGGUUUAAUUCGAAGAUACGCGCAGAACCUUACCAACACUUGACAUGUUCGUCGCGACUCUAAGAGAUUAGAGUUUUCGGUUCGGCCGGACGAAACACAGGUGCUGCAUGGCUGUCGUCAGCUCGUGUCGUGAGAUGUUGGGUUAAGUCCCGCAACGAGCGCAACCCUCACUUUUAGUUGCCAUCAUUUAGUUGGGCACUCUGAAAGAACUGCCAGUGAUAAGCUGGAGGAAGGCGGGGAUGACGUCAAGUCCUCAUGGCCCUUACGUGUUGGGCUACACACGUGCUACAAUGGUAUCUACAACAGGAAGCAAGACUGCGAGGUCAAGCAAAUCCUUAAAAGAUACCUCAGUUCGGAUUGCACUCUGCAACUCGAGUGCAUGAAGCUGGAAUUACUAGUAAUCGUGGAUCAGCGUGCCACGGUGAACGCGUUCCCGGGUCUUGUACACACCGCCCGUCACACCAUGGGAGUUGGUUCUACCUUAAGGCAAGGUUUCAAACCCUUGACCACGGUAUAGUCAGC